rnacentral:rRNA from 1 species
UGGGGAAUAUUGGACAAUGGGCGAAAGCCUGAUCUAGCCAUGCCGCGUGUGUGAAGAAGGUCUUCGGAUUGUAAAGCACUUUAAGUUGGGAGGAAGGGCAGUAAGCGAAUACCUUGCUGUUUUGACGUUACCGACAGAAUAAGCACCGGCUAACUCUGUGCCAGCAGCCGCGGUAAUACAGAGGGUGCAAGCGUUAAUCGGAAUUACUGGGCGUAAAGCGCGCGUAGGUGGUUCGUUAAGUUGAAUGUGAAAGCCCCGGGCUCAACCUGGGAACUGCAUCCAAAACUGGCGAGCUAGAGUAGGGCAGAGGGUGGUGGAAUUUCCUGUGUAGCGGUGAAAUGCGUAGAUAUAGGAAGGAACACCAGUGGCGAAGGCGACCACCUGGGCUCAUACUGACACUGAGGUGCGAAAGCGUGGGGAGCAAACAGG